rnacentral:rRNA from 1 species
UACGUAGGGUGCAAGCGUUGUCCGGAAUUAUUGGGCGUAAAGCGUCCGUAGGUGGCUCUUCAAGUCUGCUGUCAAAGAGUGGGGCUUAACUCCAGAAAGGCAGUGGAAACUGAAAGGCUAGAGAGCCGUAGGGGUAGAGGGAAUUCCCGGUGUAGCGGUGAAAUGCGUAGAGAUCGGGAAGAACAUCGGUGGCGAAAGCGCGCGACUGGACCGAGACUGACACUGAGGGACGAAAGCUAGGGGAGCGAAAGGG